rnacentral:rRNA from 1 species
AUUGAACGCUGGCGGCAGGCCUAACACAUGCAAGUCGAACGGUAACAGGAAGAAGCUUGCUUCUUUGCUGACGAGUGGCGGACGGGUGAGUAAUGUCUGGGAAACUGCCUGAUGGAGGGGGAUAACUACUGGAAACGGUAGCUAAUACCGCAUAACGUCGCAAGACCAAAGAGGGGGACCUUCGGGCCUCUUGCCAUCGGAUGUGCCCAGAUGGGAUUAGCUAGUAGGUGGGGUAACGGCUCACCUAGGCGACGAUCCCUAGCUGGUCCGAGAGGAUGACCAGCCACACUGGAACUGAGACACGGUCCAGGCUCCUACGGGAGGCAGCAGUGGGGAAUAUUGCACAAUGUGCGCAAGCCUGAUGCAGCCAUGCCGCGUGUAUGAAGAAGGCCUUCGGGUUGUAAAGUACUUUCAGCGGGGAGGAAGGGAGUAAAGUUAAUACCUUUACUCAUUGACGUUACCCGCAGAAGAAGCACCGGCUAACUCCGUG